UACAGAGGUCCCAAGCGUUGUUCGGAUUCACUGGGCGUAAAGGGUGCGUAGGUGGCGAGGUAAGUUUGAUGUGAAAUCUCCGGGCUUAACCCGGAAACUGCAUUGAAUACUAUCUCGCUUGAGGGUUGGAGGGGGGACUGGAAUUCUCGGUGUAGCAGUGAAAUGCGUAGAUAUCGAGAGGAACACCAGUGGCGAAGGCGAGUCCCUGGACAACUCCUGACACUGAGGCACGAAGGCCAGGGGAGCAAACGGG
rnacentral:rRNA from 1 species